rnacentral:lncRNA from 1 species
CUAGAAUCAUCUACUGAACUGUAGACAAACGUGUCCAGCAUGUACCUCAGAGCUGAAGAAGUUGUGUUUAGUGCCAGAUUCAUGUAUGCCCCGAUGGAAACAGCUUAAGGAAGAAAAUCAGUUCCCACCAGGCUCCCACCAGGUUCUUCAUCAUUUUAUCAAACAGCAGAAGAACCUCACCAAAGACCAGUCCAGUGAAGUUGCCUAUCUUAGACUGUCAACUUCUAGUACUGUGAGAAAGUGCAUUCAUUCUUCUGGGGAAAGAAACGAAGACCCAGUGAUGUAGAAGCCGCCAGGACCACAAGUGCUACUGUUCUUUCUCAUGUGCUGUUUUCUUUCUGUGAACUCUGAGACGCCACUAAUGAGAAUAGCCAAUUACUACAUCUGUUGACCAAGAGCAAGCUCCGCUGCCCAUUAACACAGCCUUCUCUGGCCAGUCACUCUAAUGAGAAACUGGAUAAUUGCAGGACUCUUGGUCAAUAGUUGAGAAUUUUAGUUUAUGUUGAAUUUAGAGCCAGAAUUUGUUUUGAUGUUUCAAGCCUAAUUAGAUUUAUUUUAUAUAUAAAGAAAUGCCGACUUUUUUUUCUUUUCGUGACCCCAAAUUCUAGAUAUAUUUUGUACAUCAGAGAAUAAGAGAUUGAG